AAUAACCAAACCCAUUUAUAGUUAUUGUUAAAAAGAGUUAUACCCUGAUGUCUCUUGGUAAUAGUUAGGCCUUGGAAUCCCGUAAUUACUAUGCUGUUAUAUUUCCCAACUUCCUGCCCCAACACUGACUUCUGGGGUCCAAUAACCAAACCCAUUUAUUGUUAUUGUUAAGAGAGUUAUACCCUGAUGUCUCUUGGUAAUAGUUAGGCCUUGGAAUCCAGUAAUUACUAUGCUGUCAUAUUUCCCAACUUCCUGCCCCAACACUGUCUGCUGGGCUUCAAUAACCAAACCCAUUUAUUGUUAUUGUUAAGAGAGUUAUACCCUGAUGUCUCUUGGCAAUAGUUAGGCCUUGGAAUCCAGUAAUUACUAUGCUGUUAUAUUUCCCAACUUCCUGCCCCAACACUGUCUUCUGGGGUCCAAUAACCAAACUCAUUUAUAGUUAUCAUUAAAAGAGUUUGAUCCUGAUGUCUCUUGGCUUGGUUUUGGGGUGGAAAUAGGGUUUGGAAAUGGGGUAUUGGGGUGGUUUUGGGGGUGGGAAAUGGGGAACAGGUUUGGGAAAUGUUUUGGGGGGUCGGGGAAAGGGUUUUGAAAUGGGGAAAUGGGUUUGGGAAGUUUGUUAGGCCUCAGAAUCCGGUAAACACUAUGCUCUUAUAUUUCCCAACUUCCUGCCCCCAAACUGUCUUCUGGGAUCCAAUAACAUACCAUUAAAAGUUACCAUUAAAAGAGUUAUUAUACCUUGAUGUUUCUCGGCAAUACUCGGGCUUUGGAAACAGGUCAAUACUAUGCUCUUAUAUUUCCCAUCUUCCUGCCCCCAAACUGUCUUCUGGGGUCCAAUAACAAAACUCAUUUAUAGUUACCAUUAAAAGAGCUAUACCCUGAUGUUUCUCGGCAAUACUCGGGCUUUGGAAACAGGUCAAUACUAUGCUCAAAGUACGACAACCUGGCAGGGGUGUGGUGGGGCAGUAGUAGGAGUUUUAAACGAUACAAAAAGUUCCGCAGUAAUGAUAUAUCCGUUACACCUCCUGGGGCUCCGAUCGCCACUGGAAUAAGGGGAUGAGGACACAUUAUCAAACACCAGCUUGUAUAUAAACAUGCAAUGGGCUAAAUGUAAAUAAAAAUAGAUGGAAUACAUAUACAAUAAAUGGUACAAGUGUAGAAUGACUGGGUGUAUCCACAGAAAUGGGGGGGGGAUGGGGGGGACAUGGGUGUUUUUGAAAAGGGUCGGGAAAUUGAUUUUGAGGGGUCGGGAAAUAGGGGAACGGGGUGGGACAUGUUUUGGGGGGUGGAAACAGGGUUGGGAAAUGGGGCUUUGGGGUGGAAAUGGGGUUGGGAAAUGGGGAACAGGUUUGGGCAAUGUUUUUGGGGGUUGGGGAAAGGGUUUUGAAAUGGGGAAAUGGGGUGGGAAAUGGGGGUGUUUUUGGGUUGGAAAGGAUCGGGAAAUGGUGUUUUGAAUUGGGAAAUCAGUCAGGAAAUGGGGUUGGGAAAUGGAUGUUUUUGGGGUUGGCUGUGAAAACUGUCCGCUAGGCUUCGAGCUGAGAGACCGAACGGCCGAGUUUUGUUACGUCGAUCGAAGGCGCUGUGUGUGUGUGUGUGUGUGUGUGUGUGUGUGUGUGUGUGUGUGUGUGUGUGUGUUCCUGUUUUCUUCCUCUCUCUCUCUCUUCCUUUCUUUCUUCCUCUUCCUCCUCCUC